rnacentral:rRNA from 1 species
GACGUAGGGCGCGAGCGUUGUCCGGAUUUAUUGGGCGUAAAGAGCUCGUAGGCGGCUUGUUGCGUCGACUGUGAAAACCCGCGGCUUAACUGCGGGCUUGCAGUUGAUACGGGCAGGCUAGAGUUCGGUAGGGGAGACUGGAAUUCCUGGUGUAGCGGUGAAAUGCGUAGAUAUCAAGUGGAACACCAGUGGCGAAGGCGAGUCUCUGGACAUUUCCUGACGCUGAGGCACGAAAGCCAGGGGAGCAAACGGG